GUCAACAGUGAGAGACAGCUGUGUGCACCAGAAAACACAUACCUCCCACAUCAGCCACUGGACCACCAAAGGGUGGAUACUUUUAAAUAUUUGAUAUAAUUGCAUUUUUAUUUCAUGAGCUGUUAGAGUGUCAGUUGUAUGUCAUCUGUCACAGCAGCUGUUAAGGAAAGCAACUCCCACCAUGCUCAUUCAAACACUGAUAUACACAUGCACACAGAUUGUCUUACAGGGUUAUCCCCUCAGAGGGACACUUCAGGCACUAUAAUAACUUUAUUGGA